AGAAUCAACGCUGGCGGCGUGCCUAACACAUGCAAGUCGAACGAGAAAGUGGGAGCAAUCCCACGAGUAAAGUGGCGCACGGGUGAGUAACACGUGACUAACCUACCCUUGAGUGGGGGAUAACCUAGGGAAACCUGGGCUAAUACCGCAUAAUACCUACGGGUCAAAGGAGCAAUUCGCUUAAGGAGGGGGUCGCGGCAGAUUAGUUAGUUGGCGGGGUAAUGGCCCACCAAGACAGUGAUCUGU
rnacentral:rRNA from 1 species